CGUCCCCCACCAGGCCCCCAUACUUUCCUCCCAUGGGUUUCCUAUGGAAUGUUGCUGCCUCAACUUCUGAGAGCCUCUUGCCGGGGGCCCCAUCCCUAGCCCUUGCCUCCCUGUGCUGCUUUACCUUCUUUUUGGGAGGAUAACUGCCCUCUGUUUUCAGCACCCCAAUGAGAAAGAAAAAGUCAUGACCAGAAGUCAGUGUCAGUGAUUGCUGAUGUGUGGAACCAUCUGAUGAAUGAGGAGUUUAGGUAAAAAAUAAAGGGAACUGAUGAAAACCA
rnacentral:lncRNA from 1 species